GAAGUCUUGAGGUCUUAGGGUUUCCAAGGUUUGAUAGUUGCUUCGAUGGUGGAGGCAAUAGCUGUGCAUGUGCAAGUUAUAAAUAGGUUUAUACAAAUCGAUAACAAAUACCAUUUAUGUGGUUGGUAAUAGUGGAAUUUUCGCGCCUUCUAUUGUCAGCAAUUAGUGUUUUCCUCUACGAAUUGUUUGUUUCCAUCAUAUGUUAAUUGCUAUGUAUUGUUUCUCUGACUAGUUUUUCUAUAUAUGCUAAUACGGGUAUAUGAAAGCAGAUUGUUCCGACCAGAGUUCUAUGAAAACAAACUGAAUCCACUAAUUAUCUUCUAAAUGUUCCAACAGUUGAGAUAGGUGGAUAAGCCAACUGCUUGAGGAAGCCAUCUUGCAUAGCCUCAAUCCAGCAUAUUCUUCUUCGGUUAUGUUUCACUUCUGAUCAUAGGUCACUGGAAGAUCCAACCAAUUAAAACACGUCACGAUGCCAACACGUGGUGAUCGAGAGCGGCCACUCGGCAGGCUUAAUACCAUACCGCCGAACUUGCAUAUCAGAAGCUUCCCAUAGUUGGCCGCAUCCUAACUAGAAGACUUAGUGAUCAUCGAGAUCCCACCGGUAUGAUAUGUAGGACAUCAUCUACAUGCGAAGCAUUCACGCCUGAUGUCUAGGCCAUAUGCUCUAAUUUCCUGGUGGAAGGUAGGCUCCUCUAUUGGACAUACAUAAAAAGGGAGGAUUGAAGAGGUAAGAAAGAAGAAGAACGCCCUAAUAGACUGAAAGACGACCUCCUCCUGUUUCUUAAUUACUAUAUUGGCUUAGACAUCGGAGAGUCCCCCACUAGAUAUGUUCCAACCAGAGGACUUUUUUUGCUCUGUGUUGUUUCAGAUCGGAGUGCUACCAUCCGAUGAGGAUCUCGGCUGCAGUGAUCGAGCGAUGCACGCCUUUUUCAAUUCCGACCAGAGCGGCCAACCAGCGAGCUCUCUAUUGUCAUCGCGCUUCUCACUCUGGUGCCUAGGGCCAGUCAAUUCUUAAUGACAACAGGAUCACUGAUGAAAGAAGGGCUAGAUAUAGCAUAUGCUAGCAUAAGGCCUUUGCAACUUAAUAUGCUUCUUUAUUGGCUAAGUUGAAAGACCUUCAAGUAAGAUUGAGUUGAAGCUUGAAAUUUUUAACUCUGAUAAUUGCAAAUGAAGCUUAGGGCUAAUAUUUUGUAAACUAGAUAUCGAGUACAAUCUAGUUACUUUUUUUUUAUGUAAGUAUGGAUGUUUUGAUGAUUUAGAUUCGUUCCUAAUCUAGUGUGAACAGUUAUAAAGU